rnacentral:rRNA from 1 species
UACGUAGGGUGCGAGCGUUGUCCGGAAUUACUGGGCGUAAAGAGCUCGUAGGUGGUUUGUCGCGUUGUCCGUGAAAACUCACAACUCAAUUGUGGGCGUGCGGGCGAUACGGGCAGACUGGAGUACUGCAGGGGAGACUGGAAUUCCUGGUGUAGCGGUGGAAUGCGCAGAUAUCAGGAGGAACACCGGUGGCGAAGGCGGCAUCCUGGACCAUUAUUGACGCUGAGGAGCGAAAGCCAGGGGAGCAAACGGG